UACGAAGGGGGCUAGCGUUGUUCGGAUUUACUGGGCGUAAAGCGCACGUAGGCGGAUCUUUAAGUCAGGGGUGAAAUCCCAAGGCUCAACCUUGGAACUGCCUUUGAUACUGAAGAUCUUGAGUUCGGGAGAGGUGAGUGGAACUGCGAGUGUAGAGGUGAAAUUCGUAGAUAUUCGCAAGAACACCAGUGGCGAAGGCGGCUCACUGGCCCGAUACUGACGCUGAGGUGCGAAAGCGUGGGGAGCGAACGAGGAAUUAGAA
rnacentral:rRNA from 1 species